GUGGAGACCAGACCUGUUGA
rnacentral:misc_RNA from 1 species